GUGAGAGUGUGUGAUCUCAGACACUUCAAGGUGUGUGUUAGGUGAGAGUGUGUGUUCUGAGACACUACAGGGUGUGUGUUAGGUGAGAGUGUGUGUUCUGAGACACUACAGGGUGUGUGUUAGGUGAGAGUGUGUGAUCUGAGUCACUACACGGUGUGUGUUAAAGCAGAGUGUGUGUUCUGAGACACUACAGGGUGUGUUAGGUGAGAGUGUGUGAUCUGAUAGUACGGGUUGUGUUAGGUGAGAGUGUGUGAUCUGAGAUACUACGGGGUGUGUGUUAAAGCAGAGUGUGUGAUCUGAGAUACUACGGGGUGUGUGUUAGGUGAGAGUGUGUGAUCUGAGAUACUACGGGGUGUGUGUUCGGUCAGAGUGUGUGAACUGAAAGAACUGAUUCUGGAUCAGCUAUAUGGAGUUCCUCCACCGUCACACAGCUCAUUCACUAUCAGGUUCCUGUUCUCCACUCCACUUUCACAACAUUCAGAGGAUUGAGGUAAAUUGUUAUUGAAGUGAGUUCUUUAGCCCUAAUCUUCUAUUUUAAUGAAAUAGAAUUGAAGCAGGAACUGAUUACUCAAUAAUUCUGUAACUUGAUAACCCUAUAACUAAAGAAG
ensembl:lncRNA